GGGCGUAAAGCGAGCGCAGGCGGUUUCUUAAGUCUGAUGUGAAAGCCUUCGGCUCAACCGAAGAAGUGCAUCGGAAACUGGGAAACUUGAGUGCAGAAGAGGACAGUGGAACUCCAUGUGUAGCGGUGAAAUGCGUAGAUAUAUGGAAGAACACCAGUGGCGAAGGCGGCUGUCUGGUCUGUAACUGACGCUGAGGCUCGAAAGCAUGGGUAGCAAACAGGAUUAGAUACCCUGGUAGUCCAUGCCGUAAACGAUGAGUGCUAGGUGUUGGAGGGUUUCCGCCCUUCAGUGCCGCAGCUAACGCAUUAAGCACUCCGCCUGGGGAGUACGACCGCAAGGUUGAAACUCAAAGGAAUUGACGGGGGCCCGCACAAGCGGUGGAGCAUGUGGUUUAAUUCGAAGCAACGCGAAGAACCUUACCAGGUCUUGACAUCCUUUGACCACUCUAGAGAUAGAGCUUUCCCUUCGGGGACAAAGUGACAGGUGGUGCAUGGUUGUCGUCAGCUCGUGUCGUGAGAUGUUGGGUUAAGUCCCGCAACGAGCGCAACCCUUAUUACUAGUUGCCAGCAUUUAGUUGGGCACUCUAGUGAGACUGCCGGUGACAAACCGGAGGAAGGUGGGGACGACGUCAAAUCAUCAUGCCCCUUAUGACCUGGGCUACACACGUGCUACAAUGGAUGGUACAACGAGUUGCGAGACCGCGAGGUUUAGCUAAUCUCUUAAAACCAUUCUCAGUUCGGAUUGUAGGCUGCAACUCGCCUACAUGAAGCCGGAAUCGCUAGUAAU
rnacentral:rRNA from 1 species